rnacentral:snRNA from 1 species
GGAUGUGAGGGCGAUCUGGCUGUGACAUCUGUCACCCCACUGAUCGCCAUCCCCGAUAGAGGAGGACCGUUCUUCGGUCAAGGGUAUACGAGUAGCUGCGCCCCCCUGCUAGAACCUCCAAACAAGCUCUCAAAAACUUGUCAAACAGACUCCAAAAUUCUUAAAUUUCCACUUAUUAAAAGCUAUGGAUCAAAU